GGCCCCCGCCUGGCCCAGCCCCGGCUCCGCAGCUCCGUGAGGCCGCGCCCGCGGCGAGAGUAGGGUGGGAGACGUCGGGAUGGAGGGACCGGGGUCGGUCAGGGAGCUGGGACGUGGUUCUGGGGUCGCAUGGAGUGCCAGGGCUCAAGGGAAAGGGUGCGUGAGAUGGGGCAGGGUCUGCAGAAUGUUGUACGGGCCGUAGGGAUGGGACAAGGUCUAGAGAGUGGUACACGGACGAGAGAGAUGGGACAGGGUCUAGAGAAUGGGACAUACACCCUAGGGGUAGGACAGGAUCUGGAGGAUGGGACAUGGACCGUGGAGGUGGGACAAGUUCUGCAAGGUGGGAAAUGUGCCAUGGAAGUGGGACGUGGACCAUAGGGGUGGAGACAGAGUACCCAGUGGUGGGAUGUGAACCUGGAGCCCCUGGUCUGGGGCAAAGAACUGUGGUGUCUAACAGGUCCCUGAGGGUCAGCCACAGCCCCCAGGGUCAGGCUGGCAUCCCCAGCAUUCAGGUGACACCCCCAUGGAGGGAUGGGACUCCUGGAAGUGGUGACUCAUGAGGGUCAGGCAGGGUGCAGGUUAGGGCAACAGUGCCUGGGGAGCAGCAGGAUGGGAUGCAGGGUGCAGAAUGAUGCCCAGUCAGGCACCAUCUGGGCCCUGAGCUUCUCAAAGCCCUGGUGCACAUCCUGGGGCUCUGUGGGCUGGCACCGUUCCUUGGAGUGGUGCUGGCUCCUGGCAGCACCAUCAGAAUGAUGGAUUUUGGCAGUGCCCAAGGAAAACAGCUGGAAAGUGGUCCUUGGUGGCAGAACUGGUUAACACUACUAGUCACGCUCCAGCUAUUGUUCUCUGUUGGUAUUCAGCUCUGCAGACUUCUGCUUCUAUUUCAGUCCUGCUGAAGGGCUCAUGUACCCUGCAGCCUGCCUGUUUUUCUCCUAAUUAUUUCAGUUGGGCUAAAAAAAGAUAUUACCUCCCUCUGCAAACCUUGCCUCCAUUGUUCUCGGCAGGGUGAGAAGGAAAGGAGAAGAAAAGCACUGAUACCUCCAGGUUAAAUGCACUUUUUCACAGGUAUCUCUGCUUGCUCCACUUGCACAGGGUCCAGUCUAGGACAGAGCUCCUGAGAGCAUGCAAACAGCAAUUAGUGGUAAUGAGAAGAAACACCUGAUUGCAUCUCUUCCUUAUCAGCUUGGCUGUGGCUUUGGCAGACGCUCCAGUCUCACCAGUGUGAUCCCUUUGCUGGGUAAACACCGUCUACAGCCUCAGUGCUCCUUCUGCCACCGCUGGUAGCAAAAUUGGGCACAGAAGAUUCUGAUUCGGGGCAGGCGUGGGGCCUGGCAUGCAGCUGUGAGCAUCCAUCCGUUUCAUCCCUGCGAGGCUGGGCCCAAAGUUCUGGGAGCAGCACAGAAUGAGUUAUUGUUAAACAAAUGAUGCUGCAGCCAAACUUUCAAAAUGACCCAAACCAGCAGAAAUGCUUUUCUGUAUUCUUGAUUUUCCUGGCAGGGCUGCGGAGAGUGAGGGGAAACCUCUGGCCCAGCCGAUAGGGUGUGGGCUGCGGUUCUGACUCUCUCCUGGAAAAUUUUAAUCGGUGAAAAAGUGCAGAAUGUUUUUAGCAUGCAGUCACCGUGCAUGCGAGGACACGCGGCUGCUGGGGAGCCGCGACGCCAGGGCCGUAUCAUUGGGGUUUAUCAGCUGCUGCGAGGGCAGUCCCCAUCCGCAGGGAGCAGCAGCUCCGGGAGGACCUGUUGUUGAAUGAAAGUAAUUAAGGGAAGGUGUUUGCAGAGUGAGAACACAAUUGCACAAAUGCAGCGGCUUGCUGGCAGGUUGGGGACGGGCAUCAUGGCUGGGUUUGCAGCAGGGAAGCGCUGCCCACCCCGGUGCGUGGUCACUGGUAAAAGUGGGGCGAUGCUGCUGGGGGUGACACCAAGCAGCUGGUGCUGGUGAGGCGUGCAACGAGGACCUCAGCUGGUGAGGCAGCCCUUUGCUCUAAGCCCUAUGUGGUGCUGGCAGCGGGGUCUGUGACCCAUCUCUGUGGCCAACGGGAGAGCUGUGACACUGCCACCCAUCCCCAGCCCGCAGCACCUAGACACCUUGGCAAGUCACAUGCUUUGAUUUCCCUCUGCACCCAAUGGUAAUAGCACUUCUUCAGGGCACUGAACAGCCUCCUUCGUCAGCAUCUGGCUAAAGACCACCUGGAGCAGAGGCUGGGUGUUGUAAUUGGACUGGGAGGAGCAGGCAGCCUGGGAACACCUGGGCAUGGUGAGCAGCAGGAGCCCCCACACUGGGUUUGGCAGCAGCAAAGGCUGCAGCAGGUGGCGUGGGAACACAUGGUCAGUGGGCAUGGUGGCAAUGGGUGUAUGGUUAGACCUGAUGAUCUUAGAGAUCUUUUCUGACCUCAAUGAUUCUAUGGUUCCCUGCUACACUUGGAAAUGCCCCUGGGUGUUGGGGGUUUCAGCCUGCAGGUGUUUGCAGUGGGAACAAAGCAAACCCAAAAUCACGGAAAGGCCAUCACUUGCUGGGGUAGAGUUGGGGAUGCCUUAAGUUAGCUUAUGAAGGAGUGUGAUGGAGGCCAUGUGUUUAAAUCCAGGUUGGGAAUGCUGUGGUUGAGACUCCUGCCAGGGGCUGCCUGCUGCUGCCCUGUGUCCCCAUAUGAAGGCACUGACACCGCUGGAGGCUCUGAGCUACCACUUCUACUGCUCAUCUCUCGCCCCGCACUUUCAUGCUCCCAGUGCUCAAAAACCUUUGCCAAAAGGUUUCAGGUGUGAAAACACAGCAGUGCUGGUCACGGUGGAUCCUUGUGGACAUCAUCCACUUUGGAGACAGAGCAGAGGAGCUGCAUUUGCUUUGCAGAAGCCGCAGCACAAGCAGGCGGACGUCCCUGCUGGUGACUCACAUCCCCAUGGACACACGGGUAGCACUCGGAGUCCCAGCUUUAGCCCAAUUUUAGCCCUGGGGAGAGCCACAAUGACAGUGACAGAUGCAUGGCUCCGGCCAGGGGGACCUGAAAUAUCCUUUGCUCAGCCACGGUGCGGCCCCUGCCCAGUGCCUGCAUAGCCCAGCUCUGUCAGACCUGCUAUUCCAGUGGGUGGGGUUGGCUUUGUCUCAGGUUAUUUCAAGCUUGCUUUUGGCACAAGGAACAGUGCCUGGUCCCAGCUGGGGCUGAGCAUCCCACCAACCCCACUGGGCAUCUUCUUCAUUGCCCACAUUUCUUAGGCACCAACAGAGCCCUUUGAGACCUGUGAAAACAUUGGCUUUAAUUCUCUUCUUUUAAUUCAACACUGGGCGCGCCGCUGAUUUUUAUUAAUUUACCAGUUCUUCCCCCCACCGUGGAUAUCUGUGCUGAGCCCUUCUGUCCCUGCAGCGACCAUUCGCACCGUGCUUAAAAUUGUUUCUAAACUUCCAGAUCCAUCUUCUGGCCAUCUUUACAGGCUUGAGCCCACAGUGGGCCCUCUCCUUUCAUCUUUUAUUACCGGCAUUUUUACCAGGAUGACAUUUUGACUGGUCUGGGAAAUCUUCUCACCCGCCGCACUGCUUCCUGACAAUCAAGAUUUAAUCUUUCUGGAGAGCAAUGAUAGAAAAUGCUGCAGAUCACUCCGAGAUUGCAGAAAUCCAGACCGUGGAUGCUGUUCUCACUGCAGCUCUGGCACGAGCUCCCAUCUCCCUGCUGCCUCUCUAAUCUCCAGUUUAAAUCUCCUGUGCUGCUGCCUUCAGUUUCUGAUGGCUGGGAGAGCUGCUGCAUGGCAAAGCCCAUCCACGUGGCCCUCCUUGUUCUAAGCUGGGCUCUUCCAGCCCCAAUGGCAGCCCUCUCCCAGAGCCUUUUUGCUCUGAUUCUUCCUCAUUUCUCAUCCAGGCUCCAACCAGCAGGUGCAGCAUGUCUCCAUCAAGCACAGAUCUCUGGAAAUCCACUCGGGAUUUUCCCAAAGUGAAAAAAUGACCCGUUGGCCACGGUGCUGCGGAUCUUCAUUUCUGACUGUUGCACUCAGCUCAUUUCCAUGCAGCAUUUUUGGGAUGAAAGCAGAACACCUGGGAGCAGCCCAGCCCAGGAGGAAGGCGGUGUCCACAGGCACCCUCACAGCAAUGGAAACUGGAACCACGCAGGAUGCGAGGCUGCAGCCGUCCACGGAUUUUCCAUCUGCAGAAUAACUCCAGCGCACAGACGGAUCACAAACCGCACUGCUUUAAUUACACCAGCACAAUUUUCACUCAUUUGGUUAAACCUGCAAGCUACAGAAAGAGCUAUUUCCAAGUGCACGGCAUGACUUAACGGCCACUCGCAAGCAGCUGGGGCUGUGCCGUGCCACCGCCGUACCCCGGCACGCAUCCCAUAACCGGGGUUUAACCUGAUUCCUGCUGUAAUCUCCGCGCCCGGCUGGAUCGCGCUGCAGCUCUCUGGUUUUGAAAUCAGCCCAGGAAAAAAGAGUGAGCGCCGAGCCAGGCUGUGCCCCGCUGCACCGCGGUGGGGACAAAGUCUGCUUCACGGCACUGCGGGGUCAGCCAGCAGACGGCACCUCCCUACUGGCACCGAGAGCGGAACACUGCCUUCCUCCCCUCCGAUCGAUGUUCGCAGUGCUCCAAAGGCUUUUCCCUCAUUCUCUGAUGAGCUUUUUUCUUUUCUUUCUUUCUUUUUUUUUCUUGUUUGGAAAGGAAAUGGGCAGGAGCAGCGUGCUGGGUUUUGGAACCACUGUGAUGCACAGUGGGCACCCAACUUGUGAGCAGCCCCGUUGCUGCAGCUUUGGGGUGGUUUUGUGCCCUGUUCCCACCUCUCCUCUGCUCAGUGAGCUCUUAAUUAGAGGGGAAUCUCGAGGCAAAGCGCAUAAAACAGGUGGGGGAUGAGCAGUGGAUUUCCCACCUCCUGGUGCUAAUGGAGACCAUCCUUCCCCACUUAACCAGAGCAGCCGUUAAUGUGCUCUGACAUAUUUUUAGCUGAAAAGUGUUUCUCAGCAAUGCCACCUUCAUGGGCAACACCAGUUGUUUUUCCUUCCCCUCGAGGGGUCCAUCACCAGUGCUCUGCUCCCCAGAUCCCCAUUUCUCAACUUCUCAUUGUCUCCUCUGCUGCUCCCAAGGGAUGUGCCACUCACAGGGGUCAGACCCUAUGGGAGGAUCUGGGCUCCCCAUGGGUUCCUCUUGGAUUCAUCUCCGUGCUGAGUUUCUGAUGCCUUCCCAUGGGAAACCCAACUCCACGUUUCCCACUCAUCAUCACAGGGUUUGCACACCAAGGUCAAGUUCACCACGACCCAGUGGGUCAGCUGGAUGCUGGAUACAGGGAAGAGGAGAUUCUGCUGCCUGUCCCGUAACAAACCUGUUUGCUGACACGUCAUGAGCUUCUGAUAUCCCCUAAGUAGGGUCUGGGGGUGCAGGGGGGUGUCCAGGGUUACAGGGCUGGGCAGGGUGGUGCACGUGGGAUGCUACAGUGGGCUGUGGAGGGGAUGCAGAGAUGUGUAGUGGGGUAUCUGGGUGAUGUGGGGAGGGUGAGGGAUGGGUACCUGGGGUGAUGCAAGAGGGAUGCAGGGGGAUAACGAUGCCCAGUGGGAUGUAGGGGGAAUACAGAGGAGAUGCCUAGUGGGAUGCAGGGAAAUACAGAUGGGAGUGCCAGGGGUUAUUGAGGAGGUGCAGGGAGGGCUGCCUGAAGACAUGCAGGGGAUAUGGACAGGGGUGUGGGCUGCUUAGGAGAAGGUGCUGGGAGUGUGCUGGAGGC